AACGAACGCUGGCGGCAUGCCUAACACAUGCAAGUCGAACGAGACCUUUGGGUCUAGUGGCGCACGGGUGCGUAACGCGUGGGAAUCUCCCCUUGGGUUCGGAAUAACAGUUAGAAAUGACUGCUAAUACCGGAUGAUGACUUCGGUCCAAAGAUUUAUCGCCCAAGGAUGAGCCCGCGUAGGAUUAGCUAGUUGGUAGGGUAAAGGCCUACCAAGGCGACGAUCCUUAGCUGGUCUGAGAGGAUGAUCAGCCACACUGGGACUGAGACACGGCCCAGACUCCUACGGGAGGCAGCAGUGGGGAAUAUUGGACAAUGGGCGAAAGCCUGAUCCAGCAAUGCCGCGUGAGUGAUGAAGGCCCUAGGGUUGUAAAGCUCUUUUACCCGGGAUGAUAAUGACAGUACCGGGAGAAUAAGCCCCGGCUAACUCCGUGCCAGCAGCCGCCGUAACAC
rnacentral:rRNA from 1 species